CAAGUCGAACGGUAACAGGGAGCUUGCUCCGCUGACGAGUGGCGAACGGGUGAGUAAUAUAUCGGAACGUACCCAAGAGUGGGGGAUAACGUAGCGAAAGUUACGCUAAUACCGCAUACGAUCCAAGGAUGAAAGCAGGGGAUCUUCGGACCUUGUGCUCCUGGAGCGGCCGAUAUCUGAUUAGCUAGUUGGUGAGGUAAAGGCUCACCAAGGCGACGAUCAGUAGCUGGUCUGAGAGGACGACCAGCCACACUGGAACUGAGACACGGUCCAGACUCCUACGGGAGGCAGCAGUGGGGAAUUUUGGACAAUGGGCGCAAGCCUGAUCCAGCAAUGCCGCGUGAGUGAAGAAGGCCUUCGGGUUGUAAAGCUCUCUUGUCAGGGAAGAAACGGGAGUGGCUAAUAUCCAUUCUUAAUGACGGUACCUGAAGAAUAAGCACCGGCUAACUACGUGCCAGCAGCCGCGGUAAUACGUAGGGUGCAAGCGUUAAUCGGAAUUACUGGGCGUAAAGCGUGCGCAGGCGGUUUUGUAAGUCUGUCGUGAAAUCCCCGGGCUCAACCUGGGAAUUGCGAUGGAGACUGCAAGGCUAGAAUCUGGCAGAGGGGGGUAGAAUUCCACGUGUAGCAGUGAAAUGCGUAGAGAUGUGGAGGAACACCGAUGGCGAAGGCAGCCCCCUGGGUCAAGAUUGACGCUCAUGCACGAAAGCGUGGGGAGCAAACAGGAUUAGAUACCCUGGUAGUCCACGCCCUAAACGAUGUCUACUAGUUGUCGGGUUUUAAUUAACUUGGUAACGCAGCUAACGCGUGAAGUAGACCGCCUGGGGAGUACGGUCGCAAGAUUAAAACUCAAAGGAAUUGACGGGGACCCGCACAAGCGGUGGAUGGAUGUGGAUUAAUUCGAUGCACCGCGAAAAACCUUACCUACCCU
rnacentral:rRNA from 1 species